GAUGCUCUUAAGGAUCUGAGGAAUAAACUUUCAGAGAACGAGUCAAAGUAGCUCAUUUACUAUAACUUGCAUCAUGCCCUCUCCUCAAACCAUGCUUACUGCUGGUUUUGAGCUCAAGCAGGCUUGCAACUGAACUAGCAGAUACUGGAAUGCAUUACUCAAAGGGUACAGAACACUCGAUUGAACAAGUUAAGUUGUAAAGUCAAUUUCACCCGGCCGCCACACCAGUAGAGUACAGGUAUUAAGUUCAGAGAAAGGAAAUGCAAACAUCCACUAUUGUUUCUUUGCUAGGGGAAGGACCAAAGGAAAUGCACGUUUCCCAUUUGUGUCAUUCUUCGAUUUUUAUAGUAUUUAGUUCAAGUUCAAGAAAUCUAAUCUUUAUUAAUCCUCCUAAUAUCUAGCCUAUCAGUAUGAUGGACUCCUGUACUGCCAUCUCAAGGUGCACUUGACUAUCUUUUUUCUCUUAAUGCAAUUU
rnacentral:lncRNA from 1 species